UUUGGGUUAGCAUAAUAUAAUGCAAAGAGUUUAAGCCUCUUAGAUUUUUCCAAA
rnacentral:tRNA from 1 species